CCCUGGCUCAGGAUGAACGCUGGCGGCGUGCCUAAUACAUGCAAGUCGAGCGAAUGGAUUAAGAGCUUGCUCUUAUGAAGUUAGCGGCGGACGGGUGAGUAACACGUGGGUAACCUACCCAUAAGACUGGGAUAACUCCGGGAAACCGGGGCUAAUACCGGAUAAUAUUUUGAACUGCAUAGUUCGAAAUUGAAAGGCGGCUUCGGCUGUCACUUAUGGAUGGACCCGCGUCGCAUUAGCUAGUUGGUGAGGUAACGGCUCACCAAGGCAACGAUGCGUAGCCGACCUGAGAGGGUGAUCGGCCACACUGGGACUGAGACACGGCCCAGACUCCUACGGGAGGCAGCAGUAGGGAAUCUUCCGCAAUGGACGAAAGUCUGACGGAGCAACGCCGCGUGAGUGAUGAAGGCUUUCGGGUCGUAAAACUCUGUUGUUAGGGAAGAACAAGUGCUAGUUGAAUAAGCUGGCACCUUGACGGUACCUAACCAGAAAGCCACGGC
rnacentral:rRNA from 1 species